UGCGCGACGGAAUGCGCUGGUCGGCAGGGAGCUUGAGCUAAGGGAGCAUCAGGAGGGUGGCAGCCGGGAUGGCUGGGUCAUGGAAGGCAUUAGGGAUAGAAAAAGUGGGGGCGGAUCAUUCCGCCCCUUUUUUC
rnacentral:sRNA from 1 species